CAUAAGAAGGAGUCCAUCUGGUUGAUAAGGGGCAAUGUGAGGAAGGAAAAUGAAGGCAGGUGGACCUCAGGGAACAUGGGGCAUGAAUGGAAGGCAUGAGUGGAUGUCCCAGCCCAGUACACUUGUCUAGCCUGUCGCCACCUCUCUCCCAUCUCCCAGUUUCACACAUCAGGGAAGGCAUGGCGGAGCAGCUGAAACCUUCUCACAUCAUAGCAGAAAGCCGAGAGAGUGGUAGGAACUAGAGACCAGGGGGAUCCACAUUAUAGAGGCUUCUGACGAACUGAAAGGCAGCCACUUGGGAUGAGCGUGUUGCACUUGGUCAUCAACAUAAUGAAAGCAAAGGCAAAGAAGGGUCCCACGCCACCCUGUUGCUUUAUCCAGCGCCAUUUACAAACCAUGACUCAACUUCUGCCAGUGGAGCCUAUGGGGGCUUUGGGCUACUUCACAACUCAGGUGUCAGAAGAGAUUAUGGAUUUUCAUACAUCAUCAAGGCUUAACCCACAGGAAUGCGAACUGAGGAUACACCUCUUCCUCCUCCAGACUGCCUGGCUGAGAAGCUAAUAGAGACCAUCUCAUGAAACCACAACUGGACACAAUGCAGAGAGCACUGGACUGUGGGGAGUCCUGCCCCCACAGACACAUCUACACCACAGUGUCUGCAACUAUGGUUCAAGGAACACUGAGGAACAGAAAUAUUGUA